GACGUAGGGUGCAAGCGUUGUCCGGAAUUAUUGGGCGUAAAGAGUUCGUAGGCGGUUUACCAAGUCUAGUGUUAAAGACUGGAGCUCAACUCCGGCAUGGCAUUGGAAACUGGUAGGCUAGAGUGUGGUAGAGGCAAGGGGAAUUCCCGGUGUAGCGGUGAAAUGCGUAGAUAUCAGGAGGAACACCGGUGGCGAAGGCGGGUCUCUGGGCCGUAACUGACGCUGAGGAGCGAAAGCGUGGGGAGCGAACAGG
rnacentral:rRNA from 1 species